rnacentral:rRNA from 1 species
GACGAACGCUGGCGGCGUGCUUAACACAUGCAAGUCGAAUGGUAAGGCCCUUCGGGGUACACGAGUGGCGAACGGGUGAGUAACACGUGGGUGAUCUGCCCUGCACUUCGGGAUAAGCCUGGGAAACUGGGUCUAAUACCGGAUAGGACCACUGCCUGCAUGGGUGGUGGUGGAAAGCUUUUGCGGUGUGGGAUGGGCCCGCGGCCUAGCAGCUUGUUGGUGGGGUGAUGGCCUACCACGGCGACGACGGGUAGCCGGCCUGAGAGGGUGACCGGCCACACUGGGACUGAGAUACGGCCCAGACUCCUACGGGAGGCAGCAGUGGGGAAUAUUGCACAAUGGGCGCAAGCCUGAUGCAGCGACGCCGCGUGAGGGAUGACGGCCUUCGGGUUGUAAACCUCUUUCAGCACCGACGAAGCGCAAGUGACGGUAGGUGCAGAAGAAGGACCGACCAACCACGUGCCAGCCGCCGCCGUAA